rnacentral:lncRNA from 1 species
AUUCUACACUAAUUCUAGAACAUCCUCGAGUUACCUAGCCUCCGUGGUAGCUCCUCCUCCCUUUUGCCGCUCCAUGUGCUAGCCUUGAAAAUGCCCAAUUAUAUUGUGUCCUUGCAUUGUUAUGUAUGUAGUUCUGAUCAAUCACACAAAUACCUAAAAGUAAAGAAUAAAACUAAAGUGAAAUUGCUAGGAAAAUGUCAAGAAAUCACAUACUGCUAGUUAGGGCAUCGGAAUAUCACAUUAUACUAUCCUCUACAAUGGUUACAUGUAAAGCAAAUUUGGAGGCAUAUACAACUAAAAAGUAAAUCAUUGCAUCAUGGAAAUGACAUACAAAUAUGGACCAUGGAAUAAAAUACUAUUGGAAGGCAUGUCUGCAAGGAUUGUUUAGAAACUUGAUCGCUGUAUCAUGAAAAUGAUAUUGCAAGAGCUGACCUUUCCCUUGGGCAUAUUCCCAUGCUUUGACUAAAAUAGAGCAUUUGCAGUUCCUGCUUGGACGCUCACGUUCUUUCCGUUUACUCACUUCAUAUGCUAUC